rnacentral:rRNA from 1 species
AGAGUUUGAUCCUGGCUCAGGAUGAACGCUAGCUACAGGCUUAACACAUGCAAGUCGAGGGGAAACGACAUCGAAAGCUUGCUUUUGAUGGGCGUCGACCGGCGCACGGGUGAGUAACGCGUAUCCAACCUGCCCAUCACUUGGGGAUAACCUUGCGAAAGUAAGACUAAAUACCCAAUGACGUCUCUAGAAGACAUCUGAAAGAGAUUAAAGAUUUAUCGGUGAUGGAUGGGGAUGCGUCUGAUUAGCUUGUUGGCGGGGUAACGCCACAAGGCGACGAUCAGUAGGGGUUCUGGAGACGGAAGGUCCCCCANAUUGGAACUGAGACACGGUCCAAACGUCCUACGGGAGCA